ensembl:lncRNA
GUUAGGCCUCAAAAGCAAAGUAAAGUUCAGCAAAGUUCAGCUACAGUCAGGAUUGUGAGCUAUUUCCCUGGCUUCAACAUAGAACCAGCAAACAAACAUGUGGUGUAAACAAGAACCUUAACUAUCUGUUACUGGUUACUGCUAAACCUGUUAUCUUAAAGAGACACCAAGAGGUUUAACUGCACAUGAGCUAUCAGUCCAGCUGUGAAGUUCCUCUUCAAAGGUGCACUGAAACCUGAAAGCUGAGGUCUUACCGUUCUCACCUUUUGACCAAACUUUGUCACCUCAGACACCAGGGACUGCUGCACUUUUCAGCAAGGAGAAUUGCGGGACGAGAGGGCAGCAAAGACGGACCACACUAACACUAAGCAGUGGAGACACAGAGCACUGACACUGGAUGAGGAUACGGAACGGGAGUCUGGGACACUAGGGGAUUUAUUGUUGCUUACUUCACCAC